rnacentral:misc_RNA from 1 species
GAUGAAGAACGUAGCGAAAUGCGAUAAAUAAUGUGAAUUGCAGAAUUCAGUGAAUCAUCGAGUCUUUGAACGCACAUUGCGCCCCCUGGUAUUCCGGGGGGCAUGCCUGUCCGAGCGUCAUUGCUGCCCUCAAGCACGGCUUGUGUGUUGGGCCCCCGUCCCCCCCUCCCGGGGGACGGGCCCGAAAGGCAGCGGCGGCACCGCGUCCGGUCCUCGAGCGUAUGGGGCUUUGUCACCCGCUCUGUAGGCCCGGCCGGCGCCUGCCGACCACCAUCAAUCUUUUUUCAGGUUGACCUCGGAUCAGGUAGGGAUACCCGCUGAACUUAAGCAUAUCAAUAAGCGGAGG